AGGACUUUCCUCUUUUAGUUUUCAACUUCAGUUCCUGGUCAACUUUUGACAAUGCAGAUCAGCUGGCUUUCCGUCCUUAUCCUUUCAGGAAUGAUCUUGCUUUGUUCAGCAAAGUAUUUGAUCAAAACAAAAGCGGAGUGUAAGGAUAUGCAUGGAAAGUGUGUAAAGAAGAAAGAAUGUGAAGUUGUAGGUUAUGGCAUCAUUGGAAAAUGUGGCCUUUCGAAAUAUUGCUGUUGGAACUAUGCGAAGGGAAGUUAAUAUGUUUUUUGAGCACCGGUUACAACAUCGUGAAUGUCUCCCAAUUUGAACCUGAAAGAAUAAAUUAUCACUGUUGGAAUGAGAUUGAAGGUUAUGAAUCAACUGAUCAAGUCAUUCUUCUGCUUUAUAAAAAUACCAAUGAUUUCAAUAAAUGAUUUACAUGAUUUACUGCAA